GGUCGCGUGGCCCAAUGGGUAAGCAACUUCACCAUUAAUGAUUUCAACGCAGUAACUAACAAUCACUACAGCAAGGCGUCUGACUACGAAUCAGGAGAUUGUGGGUUCGAUCCCCACCGUGACCU